GUGUCAGCAGCCGCGGUAAGACGUAGGGGGCCAGCGUUGCUCGGAAUUACUGGGCGUAAAGGGUCCGUAGGCGGUGCGGCAAGUCGGGAGUGAAAUCUCUGGGCUUAACCCAGAGUCUGCUUCCGAAACUGCCGCGCUGGAGUGCGGGAGAGGCGAGUGGAAUUGCAGGUGUAGCGGUGAAAUGCGUAGAUAUCUGCAGGAACACCAGAGGCGAAAGCGGCUCGCUGGACCGCAACUGACGCUGAGGGACGAAAGCUAGGGGAGCAAACAGGAUUAGAAACCCUCGUAGUCC
rnacentral:rRNA from 1 species